rnacentral:rRNA from 1 species
UACGGAGGAUGCAAGCGUUAUCCGGAUUUAUUGGGUUUAAAGGGUGCGCAGGUUGUUUGAUAAGUCAGUGGUGAAAGUCUGUCGCUUAACGGUAGGAUUGCCAUUGAUACUGUUGGACUUGAAUAUGGAUGAGGUAGGCGGAAUGUGUAGUGUAGCGGUGAAAUGCUUAGAUAUUACACAGAACACCGAUUGCGAAGGCAGCUUACUAAUCCAUGAUUGACGCUGAGGCACGAAAGCGUGGGGAUCAAACAGGAUUA